UUGAACGCUGUGGCGGCAUGCCUUACACAUGCAAGUCGAACGGCAGCGCGGGGCAACCCUGGCGGCGAGUGGCGAACGGGUGAGUAAUAUAUCGGAACGUACCCUGAGUCGGGGGAUAAACGUAGCGAAAGUUACGCUAAUACCGCAUACGAUCCAUGGAAUGAAAGCAGGGGACCGCAAGGCCUUGUGCUCCAGGAGCGGCCGAUAUCUGAUUUAGCUAGUUGGUGGGCGGUAAAGGGCCUACCAAGGCAUCGAUCAGUAGCUGGUCUGAGAGGUACGCACCAGCCACACUGGAACUGAGACACGGUCCAGACUCCUACGGGAGGCAGCAGUGGGGAAUUUUGGACAAUGGGCGGCAAGCCUGAUCCAGCAAAUGCCAGCGUGAGUGAAGAAGGCCUUCGGGUUGUAAGCUCUUUUGUCAGGGAAGAAACGGGUGGGGCUAAUAUCCCUAUCUAAUGACGGUACCUGAAGAAUAAGCACCGGCUAACUACGUGCCAGCAGCCGCGGGUAAUACGUAGGGUGCAAGCGUUAAUCGGAAUUACUGGGCGUAAAGCGGUGCGCAGGCGGUUUUGUAAGUCUGUCGUGAAAUCCCCGGGCUCAACCUGGGAAUUGCGAUGGAGACUGCAAGGCUAGAAUCUGGCAGAGGGGGGGUAGAAUUCCACGUGUAGCAGUGAAAUGCGUAGAGAUGUGGAGGAACACCGAUGGCGAAGGCAGCCCCCUGGGUCAAGAUUGACGCUCAUGCACGAAAGCGUGGGGAGCAAACAGGAUUAGAUUACCCUGGUAGUCCAACGCCCCUAAACGAUGUCUACUAGUUGUCGGGUUUUAAUUAACUUGGUAACGCAGCUAACGCGUGAAGUAGACCGCCUGGGGAGUACCGGUCGCAAGAUUAAAACUCAAAGGAAUUGACGGGGACCCGCACAAGCGGUGGAUGAUGUGGAUUAAUUCGAUGCAACGCGAACAAACCUUACCUACCCUUGACAAUGGCCAGGAAUCCCUGCUGAGAGGUGGGGGUGCCUCGAAAGGGAAUCGUAACACAGGUGCUGCAUGGCUGUCGUCAGCUCGUGUCGUGAGAUGUUGGGUUAAGUCCCGCAACGAGCGCAACCCUUGUCCUAGUUGCUACGCAAGGGCACUCUAAGUGAGACUGCCGGUGACAAACCGGAGGAAGGUGGGGAUGACGUCAAGUCCUCAUGGCCCUUAUGGGUAGGGCUUCACACGUCAUACAAUGGACAGUACAGAGGGCAGCCAACCCGCGAGGGGGAGCCAAUCCCAGAAAGUCGUAUCGUAGUCCGGAUUGCUAGUCUGCAACUCGACUACAUGAAGUCUGGAAUCGCUAGUAAUCGGCGGAUCAGCAUGCUCGCGGUGAAUACGUUCCCGGGUCUUGUACACACCCGCCCGUCACACCAUGGGAGCGGGGUGCACCAGAAGUAGGCUAGGCCUAACCGCAAGAGGGGCCGCCUACCACGGUGCAGAUUCAUGACUGGGGGU
rnacentral:rRNA from 1 species